AACGAACGCUGGCGGCAUGCCUAACACAUGCAAGUCGAACGAGACCUUCGGGUCUAGUGGCGCACGGGUGCGUAACGCGUGGGAACCUGCCCUUAGGUUCGGAAUAACUCCCCGAAAGGGGUGCUAAUACCGGAUAAUGUCUUCGGACCAAAGAUUUAUCGCCUUUGGAUGGGCCCGCGUUGGAUUAGCUAGUUGGUAGGGUAAAAGCCUACCAAGGCGACGAUCCAUAGCUGGUCUGAGAGGAUGAUCAGCCACACUGGGACUGAGACACGGCCCAGACUCCUACGGGAGGCAGCAGUGGGGAAUAUUGGACAAUGGGCGAAAGCCUGAUCCAGCAAUGCCGCGUGAGUGAUGAAGGCCUUAGGGUUGUAAAGCUCUUUUACCCGGGAUGAUACUGACAGUACCGGGAGAAUAAGCUCCGGCUAACUCCGUG
rnacentral:rRNA from 1 species